GAUGGCAUCGGAAGCGUUGGGCUGCGACCGCUGCAUCCCGGUGACGCGUCGACGCUACUUGUCCGGUAAACGGAAGGCCUACGAUAUGCCGAUUUACCUAACGAAAGAGCAGAAACGUGAAGUUAUGGAGCUUCUCCGGGAAGACGUUGCCUUCCUUACAAAUCAUGGUCUGAUGGACUACUCGUUGAUAAUGGCUGUCCAUGGGCCUCCCUUAGGAACAUACCAGCUGACGGCAUCGGACUCGGCGAAUAUUCUUCAUUCCAAAUCAUAUGUAUCAUACCAUCGUGGUAGCGUGUCUGUGGUAUACUUCGGAAUAAUCGAUUUCCUGCAGGUAUAAAAUCGUUUUGAACUACAACCACUGGUGCUUUUUACUGGCAACUUCGUCCUAUACCGGUGACACAGGCUUGGACGGUCACUAAGCUUUGCGCGCACCACAUAAAAGCAUGCUGUGCUCCUACUCCAAUAUCAACGAUACCACCUCGACUGUAUGGAAGGCAAUUUCUGAACCAUUUUGAGUGGAAGUGGGUGACUUAUUUCAG
rnacentral:lncRNA from 1 species